CAAUAGCGUAUACUAAAGUUGUUGCAGUUAAAAGCUCGUAGUUGAAUUUCUGGAUGUGAAAGGUGGUCCGUUCCUCACGGAAUGCGUACUUUCCAUUUAUGUCCAUCCUCGGAGUUAGUGUGUAUUACUUUAAUCGGUCGUGCAUACAACCUCCGUCAUUUACUGUGAGCAAAAUAGAGUGUUCAAAGCAGGCUUAUGCCGUUGAAUAUAUUAGCAUGGAAUAAUAAGAUAUGACUUUGGUCUAUUUUGUUGGUUUGCACUCCAAAGUAAUGAUUAAUAGGGAUAGUUGGGGGUGGAUUAUCGUAUUCAAUUGUCAGAGGUGAAAUUCUUGGAUUUAUGGAAGACGAACUACUGCGAAAGCAUUUUACCAAGGGAUGUUUUUC
rnacentral:rRNA from 1 species